CUCCUCCCCACCGCCAUCUGCCUGAUGGAUCGUGGAGGUCUCCAUCGUGGAAUAUGCCUACUAUGAACUAUUCAUACACUCUGUCAUAUUCAUUGAAUGUAUUUUAACUCUAAAUCUGUCCUUCUGUACACAUUACAUCUAUUGCAUCUGUCCAUCCUAGGAGAGGGAUCCUCCUCUGUUGCUCUCCUGCAGGUUUCUUCCCUUUUUUUUCCCCCCUGAAGGGUUAUUUGGGAGUUUUUCCUGGUCCGAUGUGAGGUUUUGGGGCAGGGAUGUCUAUGUGUACAGAUUGUAAAGCACUCCGAGACAAAUUUUGUAAUUUGUGAAAUUGGGCUAUACAAAUAAACUGAAUUGAAUUGAAUAUUACUGCCGUUUGGUAAGUGUUGAAAAAGUUGGUAAAAAGUGAACCAUACAGACAUUUUAUUUAUUACUAUUAUAGAUAAAUAUACCAGUAUCGUAUUUAUGGUAUACUGUUUUUAUGGUAUCAGUAUCAUGAUAUUUAUGGCAGGUAUGGUAUAGAAGAUCGUGACAACCAGGUAGAGGCAGAACAGACUCGAAUAAUGGGUAGAGCACAAGACUUAAAGACUUGUUCACGCCAACAACAACAAAAUAGCAAGUUGGUUCAUGAAUGACCAUAUUAUACACAAUAUUACUAUUAUUAUAGGGCCCGGUCACUGACUUGGUGUUCGUGGAAGUCCCCCCCACCGCGCCUAUCCUUCUCACCUUUUUCACCCCUGACCUGUUUUCAUGCCUGAAAUUAAUUUCUUCACUUGCCAACAGAUGAGUCAGUGACCGCUUUGGCAGGACUGCAGGGUCUCGUUGAAGAUGCUUCAGUGACGGCUUUGGCAAGAUUGCGGUGGUCUCGUUGAAGGUGCCUGGCUUUGGAAGAGGCUGCCAUCUUAACAACCACGCUCUUCGUCCAGG